UCUGUCUUAAUGGUUCUCACGAGGGAUGGCUUUAUAUUGUUAAAGGGAUGUUCUUCAUCUCUCCCUCUGUCACCUUAAGAGGCUAGAGAGCAAGAUUUCUAAGUAGAUCAGAACUGACAGGAGUCAGUGAGCCAGAGCUGAAGAUUCCAUUACCAGGGAGACCAGGACUGAGGAGAGGAAGUAGCCAGCCCCUCUGACAGGAAGCUGGAAGAGCUUGCAAAAAUUUCUUCCAAGAGAUCUGAGAGUUCUUAUGAUGCCAAACAUUUCAGUGAUGUAAAAUCAGAUCAUUAAGUCAUCUACAGAGGCUUGCAGAGGUACAUAAUCUAUAUUGGUGGAUGGAAUACCAACACCAUGAAAUGGCAGAUAUUCUAAAGUACGAGAGUAAUAAUCAACUUUCCUGAAAAAAAAAAAUAUAUAUAUAUAUAUAUAUGUUCCAAGAAAAGAAAAGAAACAAAGAAAAGGGAAUGCAGUUGUGCCACAGAGCUGGCUGCAGAUGCCUUCCAGGCUGUUGGGAAAGAAUCGUCUUCACCUGCCCUUUCUACCAGGGGAGUAGACACUCCCCAAACUCACAGAUGGGUUUGUGGCUCAUCAGUUAA
rnacentral:lncRNA from 1 species